UUUUCUAUCUAUAAGUCUUGACCAAAUUACGUGCCAGCAGUCGCGGUAACACGUAGAAGACUAGUGUUAUUCAUCUUUAUUAGGUUUAAAGGGUACCUAGACGGAAAAUCAAGCCAUAAUAGGGACUAAUUUUCUAGAGUUUUAUGAGAGAAGGGGUGAAUUUCCGGAGGAAAGUUGAUAUUUAGUGAUACUGGAAGGACGGGUAACGGCGAAGGCAACCUUGUAUGUAAAAACUGACGUUGAGGGACGAAGCCUUGGGUAACGAGAAGGAUUAGAUACCCUAGUAGUCCUUGGAGACAAUUAUGAAUGUCAUAGGCUAGAUAAUUUAGCCUAUAAAUGAAAGUGUAAGCAUUCCACCUCAUGAGUAAAGCGGCAACGCCCAAAUUGAAAUCAUUAGACCGUUUCUGAAACCAGUAGUGAAGUAUGUUAUUUAAUUCGAUGAUCCGCGAAUAACCUUACCACAAUAUGCAUUGAAUAUUAUUCAAUUAUUACAAGCGCUGCACGGCUGUCUUCAGUUAAUGUCGUGAGAUUUUGGUUCGUUCCUUUAAUUAACGAAAACCCUUGCUUUAUUUGUUUUUAUAAAGUAGUUCACCGUGAUAUUGGAUGAGAUAAUAGGGACUAAGACAAGUCAUCAUGGCCUUAAUAGC
rnacentral:rRNA from 1 species